GCGGACGUGGCGAAGUGGUUAACGCACCGGAUUGUGGCUCCGGCAUUCGUGAGUUCGAUUCUCAUCGUCCGCC
rnacentral:tRNA from 1 species